CUCAACUUUUCAUUUGUUUUGUCUUUCUCUCUCGUCCUAUUUCUCUACCUCUCUCUUUCUCUUCAUCCUACGUCUUCUUCCACCUAUGUCUUACUCUUUUUCUUUCUUUUUCUCUUCCAUUUAUUCCUUCUUUCUUCUCUUCUUCCUUCUCCAUCUUCUUCUAUUCCUCAGAGUUGUUUUCGGUUAUCAUCGAAGGAAUACCAUCGUCACGGUUUUUUGUCUGGGGUUUGUAGAUUUCAUCAACAUAUAUAUACGUUUUUGUAGUUCCAAGUUUAAUGGUGUUGGCUCAAGUGAAAAGGGGGAGAUUAGUAUCAUGUUACAUGUUCACCGGGUACUCUAGCAGAUAAAUAUGAAAAGCUUUAUGGUGAAGUGAAAUGGACGGGGAAAACCUCAUGAGGUGGAAUAAAUCACUGUCUGAAUCUUAUUCAUGUUUACUAAGAUAAAUCACUGUAUGAAAUUUUUCCAAGUCCACGAAUAUACUGGAUACAAAUUCAUUGGUCUAAUAUAUGGGCCUGGAAGAGAUAAUCAAAAGCGAUUAGAGAAGGUAAAACCAUUUUGUUGGUAUCAAAUCUUCAUUUGAUGAUUUGGAGUCAGCAAUCUCUAUGUUUUGAUUAAGAUCACACUGUAUGAAAUUCUAAUUUUUUAAAACCAGGUACUAUUGUCCAUUACAGUUACAAAGAGAUGCAUGUUAACAUAUUAGUUGAUAGCUUUGAUAAAGUGGAUGCAGCAAUUUCCAUCAAUGAACUACUAAUUACCUCUGCAAUGUAACAACAUUUUAUGAUUUAUGCUUGGUUCGGUGAUGUAGUAACACUUUAUUUAUAGAAAAACUAUAUAUACUAUUAAGUUUCUCUAAUUAUUGUCUUCUAUGUUGUCUUCAAUAUUCACAAUGGAAUCAAACAACUCCUUUUAAUAUAUCAUGCUAGGCCACCAAAAAAUCCUUCAACAAUACUUGCACUGAAUUUGUCAACGGCAACAAGUACUUCACUUUCAUUUUCAGUUUCCUUAAAGAAAGCUAAAAGGUUUGCCCAAUCAACAAGUUAUCCCGCUCAAGGAACAUGGCCUCUGAACCUAUCACACGACCCACUGGAAGUUUUUUUUCCAAUUACUAAGGAUAAGCUAAUUAUAAGGGUGCCUUUUGGUUAAUGAGACCUAUGGUGCUUAUAAGACUGUUGAAGAACUCUGAGACGGGGAAGUAUGAGUAAUAUGCAACACUGAGACGAAAAAUAAUACAUUGCUUCCACGAUAAAAAGCAGACCCUUCAAUGAUUCAAUGCUUUUAGUUGGGAUUAAAGAUGUUUUUGGUGUCUAACGUGUGUUUGUGUCAUUAUUAACACAUCAUCAAUAUAUGUGGUCAUAUAACAGGUUUUCAGUUUGUUGGUUUUAUUUUCUUAAUUGGUUUUAGAGUUGUUUCUUGGUAAAAAAGAGGAGAAGAGUACUCCAAGACAAUUGUGUUUGUAUCUAUAUAUAGUGUUGGUGUGCUGAUUUCUUAUAAUUUUAUCAUGUUCCAUGUUUUUCCUUCUUAGGUGCCAUAAUGCAUUGAUAAACUUGCUCAAGUCGGUCUAAAGAUUUGGGUAUUGACAGGGGAUAAAAUGGAAACUGCAAUCAAUAUUGGGAGAUUCUCAAAAAGAAAGGAUGAAUAUUGUUGAAAAAUUAAAUGAUUAUGUGUCCUUGCUUUGUGAAAUAACUAAUGGUCCAUUGUUAUGGUCAGCUAAAAGAUGAGCUUAACAAGGAGAAUUCGUAGCUUGCAUAGGAAAAUCUACAAAAGAACCUCAUAACAUGGAACUUAGAGGGCUUUCGUUGAAAUUUGUUGCAGCAAAUCAGAAUCACAACGCUGGAACUAUGUCGACGCCACCAUCGAAAGAUAAGUGUUUCUCAUCCAUUAAUUUAACUUAUCGAAAGACUAUUUUGAAUUAGGUUAUGCAUGACUUAAUGUACAAAGUCCAUGACUUUUAGACGAUUUAGAAGUGAAUUUACAAAGUUUGAAUUAGAUGUUAUUGACAAUUAGUGCUGAGCUGGAAUGUUAUUUUCAGUUAGUUGUUAUGGUUUCAAACAGUAUGCUGUAAUGGCUUUUUUUUCUAUGAUGCAAUUGUUUUUGUUUGUCGCUGUAUCGCAUACCCCCUCUGAUAAUUGAAAUUGGUUUUGAGGCUUUUUGUAGGUGUGAGAUUCAUGGUUUGAAACUGACUCAGUAAUGCAUGUUUUCUUUGUGGAUCAGCGGCGCAGUCAGGGUCUUAUACAAGCAAAAUUUAUGCUGAUACAUUGAAAGAGGUUAAGCGAUUCCGUAACUUUAUACUUUAUCACUAUACACCAGUACCGAUCAAUUAUUUAAAACAAAGUAUGUAGUAUUAGUAGACUAUAGAUCAAAGAGGUUAAGUGAUUCCGUAUUCGACAGCUACAUCAAUAAGCUGAAGUGAUUACGCGUUUGACAGCAACACCAAAUUGGACCAUUCAUGUUUUCGAUGCCAAAUCUGUUCUUUCUCUACUAGCAAAAUCAUGUAAUGGAAUUGCUGGUUUUCAAGAGCAACUCAGGGUCUAUUUGGAUAAGUACUUAUGAAUACUAUUUAGAUGCCAAAGAUUCAUAGGCGGUACCGAUUAUGUGAAUUUUGCAGUACCGGUUGCAGCUUAGGUUGGUUACGGUGGAUUUAUUCUAAUCGGCGGCGAUGUGAUAUUUUUUAGUUAGUUGGAAUUCUUCAAUGCAACACAAUUAAGGUGUGAUUGAUAGUUGCUAAAAUGUGGAUGUCGGAAUAUCUGAUAUGUUGGAUUCAAUUCGCCGAGCUCACAAUCAAUGUUCGGUUGAAGCUCACAUGUCAGCGUGGUUUAUUGUUGAAGUGCACAUAUAAUAUUUAAUCCUUUUAUCAGCAUGUCGCCGAUUUAUGGUUUCUUUUUGCAGUCACGGGUGCUUCAUCUGUGGUUUCAGUGUUCCUAAUGGCGAUUAUCUUCAACUGUGUUUCCUUCUGGUAGCACAACCUGUGUGGUUUGGGCCUUCAACAUGUUGUAGUUUGGUACACCUUUUACUCCAAACCAAGUUCCUCACAGAUCUAAUAUUGUAGCUAACAGUUCCUUUGAUGGAAUUGUAUGUACUUGGGAUUUGAGAUGUAUUGGAGGGCCAAAACACACAACCUUGGUGACAUUUGCUCACAAAAGAUCUAUGCUAUCAACCUAUUUCUCUCCUUCUGGAUGCAGCCUGGCCACUACUAAGAAUACUAAUUCAAACAAAGAGUGUCAAGAAAAGUUGAUGGAUGCAGUUAGGUUCAGGUGACAAGUUGAAUGGGAAGGAAAUGGUUUGAAGUGAUACUGCAACCUUUAAAAUCUGCUGUUAGGUCUCUACUCCGAUUCCUAAACACGCCUAGAAUAACAAGUUUGAUCAAAUAAGGAAAGCUCAACUAGCUCAGAAUGAACAAAUGUGAUACUUAUUAGAUUUGAGAAUGAAUUUGGAUGUGAAGCGCAAUAUAAAUUAGAGUAUAUUUCCUUGAAGAAAUGCUAAAUAUUACAUAACUAUGAGCAAUAACUUUAAGUAUAGAAAGUAUGUAACUAACUUUUCAUCCACUUUUUUCAUAUGUUGUUACUCAUCGUUUUAAUAA